GACGGCUCACUGCACCCUGACCGACGAACCUAAAUUUGGAAUAUUGAGCAAAGGAAGAACCGGUCAAAUCCCGUAAUAUUUUGUGCACAAAAGUCCGGACGAAGACGCAGGACGCUACUGUGAAAAUGUAGCAACACCAAU